GAGAUACGAAACGAAACCUUGAGUCACCAGAUUGAAGCCAUCACUCAGGAGGUAAAGUGACUGGGUAUACUUUAACUGCACAACACCAAAUAUAGCUACUACUUCAUAGAGUGAAUACUGACACAGGUCCUGGCAACAUAAGUUUGUAUUGUUUUGGGUAAAAGGAAAUGCAAAACAUCCUAAUUCUGAUACUGUUUAUAUUUCCUGUUUCUGUAAAUGUGCCGGUAAAAUAUCAAUUUAGUUGUUUCCUGUUCUAGAUUUCUGACAUUUUGCCUGAGAGGGAGAUGGACAAAAGAAAGAUCAAAACUUUGAGUCAGCAUAUCCAGGUUUUACAGGUAGGUCUGUGAAAUAGUUAUAAUCAGAAUUCCUCUGGUGCCAAACAACUGAAUUCUGGAUGUAAUUGUUUAGAUUUUUCCACAUAUUUGUUGUUGUUUUCUAUGCAGCAACAACUGGAGGAAGCAAAAAGGAUGCUUGAUGAAAGAGAUGGAAUCAUUUACAACAAAGAUGUAGUGAUUAAUCAGCAAAAAGCAUCCAUGGAUGAGUUGACCACCAUUGGACAGGUACACCCUGACACACUACUUAUAUUCAUUUUGCUUCACAGUCGUUUUGAUACCAGAUAUGAAUUAUCCUGGUGUUUCAUUUUGCAUUUCUUAGGGUCUGAGAGAGGAAGUCAAGAACUUGGAGGACCAGUUGGAAUUAGCACUGGUGUAAGUUUCUUUUUGACCUCUGUUGAUUUUGUCUCCAUCUGGAUUUGUAUGAAAUCAAUUCAUUCAAAUAAUUUCCUCAAUUGUCAGUAAUGAAGAGGGCAGUUUCCUGCACCCGGAUGGCACUUUCUCUGUGGCCACAGAGAACCGCCUCUCUCUAGCUGAAGAGCUCGGGCUGAUGGCUGGAUUUCAACAGGAAGAAUCUGAUGAUGAUGUGGAGGUUGAUGACGUCCUAAUGGGCUCAGAGGUCACUGCAUGGGAACUGAAAGAGGAGGUGGAAGAAGAUAGCUGCUUUGAGGAGAUGAAAAUCAACUGCAUGAAGGUGAUUGAAGUGAGUCCUGAGGAGAUCACAGAGAUCAUCAAGCAUGAGGAAGUAGUGGAGGUCGCCGGGAAUAAGGAGGUGAAGGAUUUCAUCCAGGUUGAUGAGGUAGAAGGCAUGAAAUGGAUUAAUGAGACUGUUGAAACUGAGGAAAUCAGCCAUCUUGAAGAGGUAAAUGAGGAGGACAAGGCUGUUAGACCUGAGAAGAUAGAGAUGGUCGGCAUGCUUGAGGAAGUAGAGCAAACUGUCAGACAUGAGGAGGUGAGGGAUCUCAUCAAACUCGAGCAGGAAAAAGAUGUGAAGGAAAUUUCCAGCAUUUUGGCCGAGGAAGCCUGCCAUCAUGAGGAGAUGAAGCCUGCCAUUGGACACAAGGAAGUCAGAGACAUCGAACUGGAGAUAAAGGCAGCCAUUGGACACAAGGAAGUCAGAGACAUCGAACUGGAGAUAAAGGCAGCCAUUGGACACGAGGAAGUCAGAGAAAUCGAACUGGAGAUAAAGGCAACUAAACCUGAGGAAGAUAAAUGGGCAACUGCUCAUCCUGAGGAGGUGAAGGAGUCUGUGAUGCAUCAGGAGGUGGAGGAGGCUGUCAGAACUGAGGAAGCAAAGGAUUUCAUCAGGCUUAAGGAGGUCCUUAAACAUGAGGAGGAGAGAGAGGAAGUGGGCCGUGUUGUUGAGGUGGAUGGCAUGGCUAGACUUGAUGAAGUUCAGGCUGUGGAGGUAGAGCAGACCCAGUUCUGUAUACUGGAUGAAGACCUUGCACCAGGGCAGAACAGGUAUAUGUUAGAACAACCAGCCAGUGAGCAUAGGUUUAAGGUAGAGCAGUGUAUUUGGAUGAUGUGUAUUUCAGUCAUAGUUAUGUGAAUAGUGAUAGUACUGUUGGGACUGUUAAGAAAUGUCUUAGCCCUCAAUGUUAUUUGGUUUGACAACAAAGGGGAUAAUGUGAUCUUUGCAUGAACUGAAAUAUUCUUGUAUACGUCUGCCAUUUCUCCCUUUCUCUCCCUGAAGCGGCGCGUGGCUGGAUGAAGCCUGUGAGAAGAUCAAAAGAGGUGCCCUGAUUACUGGAGCCAUUGGCCUUGGUGUCUUUCUUUUAUGGAAAAUAAAGUCUUAAACCUACUAAAAUG
rnacentral:lncRNA from 1 species